CUUCGGUUCACCGAGAAAUGGGAGUGGCGAACGGGUGAGUAACACGUGGGUAACCUACCCAUCAGCGGGGGAUAACACUUGGAAACAGGUGCUAAUACCGCACAAUUCUUUUCUUCGCCUGGAGGAAAGAUGAAAGACGCUUUUGCGUCACUGAUGGAUGGACCCGCGCUGCAUUAGCUAGUUGGUGAGGUAACGGCUCACCAAGGCAACGAUGCAUAGCCGACCUGAGAGGGUGAUCGGCCACAUUGGGACUGAGACACGGCCCAAACUCCUACGGGAGGCAGCAGUAGGGAAUCUUCGGCAAUGGACGCAAGUCUGACCGAGCAACGCCGCGUGAGUGAAGAAGGUUUUCGGAUCGUAAAACUCUGUUGUUAGAGAAGAACAAGGAUGAGAGUAGAAUGUUCAUCCCUUGACGGUAUCUAACCAGAAAGCCACGGCUAACUACGUGCCAGCAGCCGCGGUAAUACGUAGGUGGCAAGCGUUGUCCGGAUUUAUUGGGCGUAAAGCGAGCGCAGGCGGUUUCUUAAGUCUGAUGUGAAAGCCCCCGGCUUAACCGGGGAGGGUCAUUGGAAACUGGGAGACUUGAGUGCAGAAGAGGAGAGUGGAAUUCCAUGUGUAGCGGUGAAAUGCGUAGAUAUAUGGAGGAACACCAGUGGCGAAGGCGACUCUCUGGUCUGUAACUGACGCUGA
rnacentral:rRNA from 1 species